UACGAAGGGGCUAGCGUUGCUCGGAAUCACUGGGCGUAAAGGGUGCGUAGGCGGGUCUUUUAAGUCAGGGGUGAAAUCCUGGAGCUCAACUCCAGAACUGCCUUUGAUACUGAGAAUCUUGAGUACGGGAGAGGUGAGUGGAACUGCGAGUGUAGAGGUGAAAUUCGUAGAUAUUCGCAAGAACACCAGUGGCGAAGGCGGCUCACUGGCCCGUAACUCGACGCUGAGGCACGAAAGCGUGGGGAGCAAACAGG
rnacentral:rRNA from 1 species